GAUGAACGCUGGCGGCGUGCUUAACACAUGCAAGUCGAGCGAAGCACUUUUGCGGAUUUCUUCGGAUUGAAGCAAUUGUGACUGAGCGGCGGACGGGUGAGUAACGCGUGGGUAACCUGCCUCAUACAGGGGGAUAACAGUUGGAAACGGCUGCUAAUACCGCAUAAGCGCACAGUACCGCAUGGUACCGUGUGAAAAACUCCGGUGGUAUGAGAUGGACCCGCGUCUGAUUAGCUAGUUGGUGGGGUAACGGCCUACCAAGGCGACGAUCAGUAGCCGACCUGAGAGGGUGACCGGCCACAUUGGGACUGAGACACGGCCCAAACUCCUACGGGAGGCAGCAGUGGGGAAUAUUGCACAAUGGGGGAAACCCUGAUGCAGCGACGCCGCGUGAGCGAUGAAGUAUUUCGGUAUGUAAAGCUCUAUCAGCAGGGAAGAAAAUGACGGUACCUGACUAAGAAGCCCCGGCUAACUACGUGCCAGCAGCCGCGGUAAUACGUAGGGGGCGAGCGUUAUCCGGAUUUACUGGGUGUAAAGGGAGCGUAGACGGCAUGGCAAGCCAGAUGUGAAAGCCCGGGGCUCAACCCCGGGACUGCAUUUGGAACUGUCAGGCUAGAGUGUCGGAGAGGAAAGCGGAAUUCCUAGUGUAGCGGUGAAAUGCGUAGAUAUUUGGAGGAACACCAGUGGCGAAGGCGGCUUUCUGGACGAUGACUGACGUUGAGGCUCGAAAGCGUGGGGAGCAAACAAAAUUAGAUACCCUGGUAGUCCACGCCGCAAACGAUGAAUACUAGGUGUCGGGUGGCAAAGCCAUUCGGUGCCGCAGCAAACGCAAUAAGUAUUCCACCUGGGGAGUACGUUCGCAAGAAUGAAACUCAAAGGAAUUGACGGGGACCCGCACCAGCGGUGGAGCAUGUGGUUUAAUUCGAAGCAACGCGAAGAACCUUACCUGGUCUUGACAUCCCUCUGACCGCUCUUUAAUCGGAGCUUUCCUUCGGGACAGAGGAGACAGGUGGUGCAUGGUUGUCGUCAGCUCGUGUCGUGAGAUGUUGGGUUAAGUCCCGCAACGAGCGCAACCCCCAUCUUUAGUAGCCAGCACCUAAGGUGGGCACUCUAGAGAGACUGCCAGGGAUAACCUGGAGGAAGGUGGGGAGGACGUCAAAUCAUCAUGCCCCCUAUGACCAGGGCUACACACGUGCUACAAUGGCGUAAACAAAGGGAAGCGAGCCCGCGAGGGGGAGCAAAUCCCAAAAAUAACGUCUCAGUUCGGAUUGUAGUCUGCAACUCGACUACAUGAAGCUGGAAUCGCUAGUAAUCGCGAAUCAGAAUGUCGCGGCGAAAAAGAUCCCGGGUCUUGCACUCUCC
rnacentral:rRNA from 1 species